AUAGGUUAUAUUUUACAGCCUUAGGAUGCAUUUUUCUGCAUAUUUUAGCAUGUAAUGUGAUGUAUUCAUUUGAGGGAAGAUGCAUUUACAUGAUUCUCUUGUUUCUAUGCCUCAGUAUUCUCUAAAUCUUAUGUAAACAGCUUUGAAAGUCGUAUGACAUUUACAAUUGUCAUUUUAUGGGCGCCGCCAUUUUGAACGUCAUGACAUGACCGGGUAUGAAAAACUGCUUGCCAUUGGUUAAAGUCUAGGUGUAUUUUUAGGAUGAAUAUGUUAAUUUAAAGGGGAGGUAAUGCUCUUUCUUUUGAUACCACAUGGUACUGCGAAAGUGAAAAUAUAACUAGUGGAAUCGUCUGCCGAAAAUUGCCAGUUUUUGAAGGCUUGCUGUGCAUUUAUAUGUCGAUAGAAGAUCACAGAAGUUAUUUAGCUUUCAUCAAUAGUAAGACAGUGUUAUUGAGAUUUGAACAAAUUUGGUUAUGACUGACAGUGACAGCCAGCCCGCAAGUCCAGUUAUCAAGAAACAGAGGGUUGAGAGUCAACUUGAGUUGCAGGUACCGUUGUUCAAUUCUUGGUUUAACAUUAUAUAUGACGGAGAUGACGCAGUUUACACAUACCAUCGACUCGACAGUGAUUUAGAAUCAGAGGAUCUUGAAAUACUUGUAUAAGGUAGAAAUAUAGAUGUAAUUCAAUUCAAACAUAACAAGAAUUCCUCUACAGAUGCAGCACUGAGUUACAUUAACUUUUUUUGUCUGUUGUUCAUUACAAUGGUUGUUAAGGCGUAUAGCAGAAUGGCUCCAGACAAAUGUGACUUCCCGAAAUAUUCAAUGGGUGAUAACUUUUUUAUGGAUAAACCUUUUGUCUUGAAAUAAAGACCAUUGUACUGCAAAUAAAAAUACCUUCAAAAUGGUAUAUUACAUCA